rnacentral:rRNA from 1 species
AAGUUUGAUUAUGGCUCAGAUUGAACGCUGGCAGGAUGCUUUACACAUGCAAGUCGAACGGCUUGGCACGGACUUCGGUCUGGUGGCGAGUGGCGAACGGGUGAGUAAUGUAUCGGAACGUGCCUAGUAGCGGGGGAUAACUACGCGAAAGCGUAGCUAAUACCACAUGCGCCCCUUCGGGGAAAGCGGGGGGACCUUCGGGCCUCGCACUGUCUCGACAGCCGAUAUCAGAUUAUUAGUUACAUUGGGAGUAACAGCUCACCAAGGCGACGAUCCGUAGCUGGUUUGAAGAGGACGACCAGCCACACUGGGACUGAGACACGGCCCAGACUCUACGGGAGGCAGCAGUGGGAAUUUUGGACAAUGGAAACCACAGUCAGCCGUCCAGCGUGUGCGAUGAAGGCCUUCGGGUUAUCAAAGCACUUUGGCAGGAAAGAAACGGCACGGGAUACCCGUGCAACUGACGAACACCUGCAGAAUAACUUCAGCUAACAAGCGCCCAGCAGCCAUGACUAUGCAGCAGUGCAAGCGUUAAUCAGAAUUACUGGGCGUAAAGCGUGCGCAGGCGGUUCCGGAAAAGAAAGAUGUGAAAUCCCAGAGCUUAACUUUGGAACUGCAUUUUAACUACCGAGCUAGAAGUGUGUCAGAGGGAGGUGGAAUUCCCGCGUGUAGCAGUGAAAUGCUGGCGUAAAAUGCGGAGGAACACCGAUGGCGAAGGCAGCCUCCUGGGAUAACACUGACGCUCAUGCGAAAGCGUGGGAGCAAACGGGAUUAAGAUGCCCUGGUAGUCCACGCCCUAAACGAUGUCAACCGCUGCUAGAGGCCUUCGGGCCUUGGUAGCGCAACGUGAGACGAAACCGCCUGAGUACGGUCGCAAGAUUAAAACUCAAAGGAAUUGACGGGGACCCACUUUAAACGGUGGAUGAUGUGGAUUAAUUCGAUGCAACGCGAAAAGCCUUACCUACCCUUGACAUGUCUGGAAUCCCGAAGAGAUUUGGGAGUGCUCGCAAGAGAACCGGAACACAGGUGCUGCAUGGCUGUCGUCAGCUCGUGUCGUGAGAUGUUGGGUUAAGUCCCGCAACAGGCGCAACCCUUGUCAUUAGUUGCUACGAAAGGGCACUCUAAUGAGACUGCCGGUGACAAACCGGAGGAAGGUGGGGAUGACGUCAAGUCCUCAUAGCCCCUUAUGGGUAGGGCUUCACACGUCAUACAAUGGUCAGGACAGAGGGUCGCCAACCGCGAGAGGUGAUGAAACCCGAUCGUAGUCGGAUCGCGAUCUAACUCGACUGCGUGAAAUUCGGAGAUCAUAGUAAUCGCGGAUCAGCAUGUCGCGGUGAAUACGUUCCGGGUCGUCUACUACCGCCCGUCACCAUGGGAGUGGGUUUUACCAAAUAGUUAGCUAACCGUAGGAGGGCGAUUACCGCGAUAGGAUUCAUGACUGGGGUGAAGUCGUAACAAAGAUG